rnacentral:rRNA from 1 species
GUUUGACCAUGGCUCAGGAUGAACGCUAGCGGCAGGCCUAAUACAUGCAAGUCGAACGCUCAGUAGCAAUACUGGGAGUGGGGCACGGGUGCGUAACGCGUACACAAUCUACCUCUAAGCGGGGGACACCUCCUGGAAACGGGGAUUAAUACCGCAUAAUAUGCCGAAGUCGCAUGACUUUGGUAUUAAAGCAGCAAUGCACUUAGAGAUGAGUGUGCGUCCCAUUAGGUAGUUGGUGAGGUAACGGCUCACCAAGCCUAUGAUGGGUAGCCGGUCUGAGAGGAUGGUCGGCCACACGGGCACUGAGACACGGGCCCGACUCCUACGGGAGGCAGCAGUAAGGAAUAUUGGUCAAUGGUGGAAACACUGAACCAGCCAUGCCGCGUGGAGGAAUAAGGUCCUACGGAUUGUAAACUCCUUUUGACGAGGAAGAAAAUGUUAGAUUUAUCUAAUUUUGACGGUACUCGUAGAAUAAGCACCGGCUAACUCCGUG